AACAAAUUCAAGUUGGAAUUUUCUGGCUCUCCUAACCAGCAUUGUUACUGGGCCUCUUAGAAUAUCAGAGGCACAGGUUCUGGAAUCAAGACAUCAUGAUUUUGUCUGCCUCUGUCUUUGGCUGCAUCACAAAGACAAGAAUUCAUCAUGAGACAUUUAAGAGAUUUACAAUAACCAACACUGCUGUCCAUCUUGGAAAAAAUAAUUUCUACAGACUGUAGUAGGCUUUUAAGUAACAUGUGCUAUCAUCAAGAACAUGUACCUGGCAACAAUGUCUCUCUUGGAGCAUAAAAUCCUUGGCCUAAAGGCUCUGAGAGUUUAUCAGUGCUGUGGGAUGUAUUGAUUGCUGUGUACACACACCUCUACAAUGAAUGAACAGCUUUGCAACUAGUUUCAUCUACCUGAUGACCUAGACGAAGAACAAGAAAGUACCAAUAAAACACUUCAAUCUACC
rnacentral:lncRNA from 1 species